GGCUCUGCGCUCGGGCGCGCAGCAUGUGAUUCCGGGCCGGCCGGAGCCAGGGGAGGGGCUGCCGGGGCGGCCUCUUCCUUCUCCCGCUUAGCCCUGCCCGCGCCGGGGCGGGGAGGCUGCCUGAAUCACGGGCAUCAUGUGCCCGAUGCCCGGGCUCCAGCGGGGCAUUUAAAUGCCAGCGGGCGCCGGGCCCGGAGCAGCGCCAGCUUCCGCCACCAUCUCCGCCACCGGCCCGAAGCAGACGCCCGGCCUGAUCCAUCUCGCCCGGAGAGAGACGACUGCGCGCUCCUCGCCCGGGUCCUGCUUCGCCUCCGUCGCCGCGCUGUGCGCCCUCGCCGAGACCGCUCGCCAUGAGAGCCAUCCCCGCGCCCGGGAUCCGCUUCCUGCGCUCUUUCUCCAGGGACAGCUGGUACCGGGGAUUAAUUCUUGUGUUGACGUUCCUGUGUUAUACCACUUUCCAUCUCUCACGGAAGCCCAUCAGUAUAGUAAAGAGUGAACUGCACUAUAACUGUUCUUCACGGGGACCCAAUCCGCACAAUGAAUCAAACAGCACUACGUGGUGUGACUGGAAGCCUUUUGAUCAGGACAACUACAAAGAACUCUUUGGAGCCCUGGACAAUGCGUUCCUGGUUGCCUACGCUAUAGGAAUGUACAUCAGCGGGGUCUUCGGUGAGCGCCUCCCAUUGCGCUACUAUCUGUCUGGAGGAAUGUUGCUGAGCGGGUUGUUCACUGCCUUAUUUGGACUGGGCUACUACUGGAACAUCCAUGAACUGUGGUAUUUUGUUCUUGUACAGGUCCUCAAUGGCUUGGCGCAAACAACGGGAUGGCCGUCCGUAGUGACAUGUGUUGGCAACUGGUUUGGAAAGGGGAAACGAGGCUUCAUCAUGGGCAUCUGGAAUUCACACACAUCUGUCGGAAACAUUUUAGGAUCCCUGAUUGCUGGUGCCUGGGUUUCAAAUGCCUGGGGCCUGUCAUUCAUCGUUCCUGGGAUCAUCAUAGCCAGCAUGGGCGUCAUCUGCUUCUUGUUCCUCAUUGAAUAUCCCGAAGACGUCGACUGCAGCCCUCCUCUCCAUCAUACCGCCGGUUUGGAAGAGAAAGGUCUUGAGGCGGGCCACUCCAUCAGCGACGGGAGCCUAAAUAUCUCCAGCAACAGCCGAGAAAACAUUGUGGACAUGUCGGAAGGUAGCAAAGAAUCGACAGAAAACCGGGAAGCCAUUAGUUUCAUUGAUGCCCUACGGAUACCUGGAGUUGUGGAGUUCUCCUUUUGCCUGCUGUUUGCAAAACUAGUCAGCUACACGUUCCUUUACUGGCUUCCCCUCUACAUUGUGAAUGUGGCUCAUUUCACCGCGAAAAAGGCAGGGGAUAUGUCCACCCUCUUUGACGUCGGCGGCAUAGUUGGAGGCAUCCUGGCAGGUCUCAUCUCUGACUACACAGGUGGCAGGGGCACGACAUGCUGUACGAUGCUCAUUUUGGCUGUUCCCAUGCUCUUUGCCUACAACCAUGUUGGCCAGAAUGGACUAGCAACGUCAAUAGUGAUGUUAAUUAUCUGCGGCGCCCUCGUCAACGGGCCGUACGCUCUCAUCACAACUGCGGUGUCAGCGGACUUGGGCACUCACGAAUGUCUCCAAGGAAACGCAAAGGCCCUUGCCACCGUUACAGCCAUCAUUGAUGGAACGGGAUCUGUCGGUGCUGCCCUUGGACCCCUGCUGGCAGGUUUGAUCUCUCGCACUGGCUGGGACAAUGUCUUCUACAUGUUGAUGGCCGCCGAUCUCCUGGCUUGCCUAUUCCUUUCACGUGUGGUGUUCAAAGAAAUACGAGGGUGGUGCGGCUCCUGCGGAAGAAAACGAGGCUCUUGUGUGGCAUUAACAGAACCAGUAGUGUUGGAUAUGAAAUAGUUUGCAGUGUCAGACAUCACUCUUGAGUAGGCAUGUUCUGGGGCCAUAAGUCAUGCUUUAAAGAAUUUUGACGGAGACCCACGUGACCGGAGGAAACCAUCGAGGCAACAGGGAGAGCCUUGCCGGAGGCGGUUGGUUUUGUUGCCCGCUCCCCUUGUUCACAGCGGGAGGAAUAAAUGAAGCUGCAACGGGAUGUGCUCCAGAAACAAAAGAGAACUCUCUUGCUGAACGCCAGUCAAGCUGAUCACCAAGCUUCACACUUUUUUAAAAAAGAAAAUAAAAUAAGAAUAAUAACUGACGGAAGGGAACAGGGGAACAUGAUGCCGUGGAACCAAAGGAGAAAAAGAAAAGCUGGCAUAUUUGAGAUCCGUGCCAUAUCCAAAGCCUCUGUUUUGUAUCGAUUGCCCUUUUGUUACUGCGAUUUUUUGUUAUUAAAAAUGGCACGGGA